AGUCCGCCAGGUGACGUUAAUUAAAGCGUGACGAGUGUCAAUCAAUUAGACGCUGCUACAUGCUGCUGCUACUACAGAUGGACAUGUCUGAAGAAAAGACGCUCUUAAGUAAGUUAUAGAGCCAGACUUACUCUGAGCUCCCGAUAAAAAAAUAGAAAGUUUAAUUUAACGUAUUUUCAAUGAAGCACGUGCGAGAGUUAGCUUGUUUUCAAGUGUUGCUCAACGGAUAAAGUUAGCUAGCUUUGCUAACUUGGCUAACAGCACGGACUGCUGUCAACAAACAGUGGGACAUAAUUGUAAUUUGGAUUUAUACAUCUAUAAUAUGGAUACUCCACGAAAGAAAGAAGCUCUUCAGAUAACUUUGCAGAGACUUCACUGUCACUGUGCUCGCGAUACAGCUGCAAGGACUCGACAGAAGUAAGGAAGAAAAACUGUUAACCGUUCAACGUUACACUUUAAAGGUCUGUUUUGAGUUCU